UACGAAGGGUGCAACGUUGCUCGGAAUUAUUGGGCGUAAAGCGCACGUAGGCGGCUUGGCAAGUCGGAUGUGAAACUCCCUCGGCUCAACCAAGGAAGUGCAUCCGAAACUGCUGAGCUUGAGUACUUAAGAGGAUCGCGGAAUUCCCGGUGUAGAGGUGAAAUUCGUAGAUAUCGGGAGGAACACCAGUGGCGAAGGCGGCGAUCCUGGGAAGAUACGUGACGCUGAGGUGGCGAAA
rnacentral:rRNA from 1 species